rnacentral:SRP_RNA from 1 species
GCUGGGUGCGGUGGCGGGCGCCUGUAGUCCCAGCUUCUUGGGAGGCUGAGGCAGAAGAAUCACUUGAACCCAGGAGGCGGAGUUUGCAGUGAACUGAGAUCGCACCACUGUAUUCCAGCCCUGGGUGACAGAGUGAGACUCUGUCUCAA